UGCAGAAUCAGUGAAUCAUCGAAUCUUUGAACGCACAUUGCGCCCCUUGGUAUUCCUUGGGGCAUGCCUGUUCGAGCGUCACU
rnacentral:rRNA from 1 species